CGUGUAGGCGGCAAGGCAUGUCGGGUGUGAAAGCCCUCGGCUUAACCGAGGAAGUGCGCCCGAAACUACUUUGCUUGAGUACCAGAGAGGACGGCGGAACUCCCGGUGUAGAGGUGAAAUUCGUAGAUAUCGGGAAGAACACCAGUGGCGAAGGCGGCCGUCUGGAUGGAUACUGACGCUGAGACGCGAAAGCGUGGGGAGCAAACAGGAUUAGAUACCCUGGUAGUCCACGCCGUAAACGAUGGGCACUAGGUGUCGUGGGUGUUGACCCCCGCGGUGCCGUAGCUAACGCAUUAAGUGCCCCGCCUGGGAAGUACGGCCGCAAGGCUAAA
rnacentral:rRNA from 1 species